AUUGAACGCUGGCGGCAUGCCUUACACAUGCAAGUCGAACGGCAGCACGGGAGCAAUCCUGGUGGCGAGUGGCGAACGGGUGAGUAAUAUAUCGGAACGUGCCCAGUCGUGGGGGAUAACGCAGCGAAAGCUGUGCUAAUACCGCAUACGAUCUACGGAUGAAAGCGGGGGAUCGCAAGACCUCGCGCGAUUGGAGCGGCCGAUAUCAGAUUAGCUAGUUGGUGGGGUAAAGGCCCACCAAGGCGACGAUCUGUAGCUGGUCUGAGAGGACGACCAGCCACACUGGAACUGAGACACGGUCCAGACUCCUACGGGAGGCAGCAGUGGGGAAUUUUGGACAAGGGGCGCAAGCCUGAUCCAGCAAUGCCGCGUGCAGGAUGAAGGCCUUCGGGUUGUAAACUGCUUUUGUACGGAACGAAACGGCCCUUUCUAAUACAGGGGGCUAAUGACGGUACCGUAAGAAUAAGCACCGGCUAACUACGUGCCAGCCGCCGCCGUAAGAC
rnacentral:rRNA from 1 species